GCCGCUGUUGCCAGAGGUGGAGUUCAAGUUGAAAUCAG
rnacentral:sRNA from 1 species